rnacentral:lncRNA from 1 species
UCUUCCUGGAUUUCAGGCCUGCUGGCUUUUAGACUGGAAUUUAUACAAUGCUUUCCUGAUUCUCAGGCUUUAGGACUCAAACUAGAGCUGCACUAUUUGAUCUCUCCUGACAUCUUCUCAACCUCCAAAAUCAUGAUGACCAUAAUGGCUUGACUCCUGCAGGAACUAAUUAAUUAAGGAAGACAGCACAACAGCUGUAUAGUUGGUAAGUAACCAGAAAAUUGGUCAGUUUUCUUUAAUUACGUCAGUCACAUAUGAUGUUUAAAAAG